AGAGUUUGAUCAUGGCUCAGAUUGAACGCUGGCGGCAGGCCUAACACAUGCAAGUCGAACGGUAACAGGAAGCAGCUUGCUGCUUUGCUGACGAGUGGCGGACGGGUGAGUAAUGUCUGGGAAACUGCCUGAUGGAGGGGGAUAACUACUGGAAACGGUGGCUAAUACCGCAUAACGUCGCAAGACCAAAGAGGGGGACCUUCGGGCCUCUUGCCAUCAGAUGUGCCCAGAUGGGAUUAGCUUGUUGGUGAGGUAACGGCUCACCAAGGCGACGAUCCCUAGCUGGUCUGAGAGGAUGACCAGCCACACUGGAACUGAGACACGGUCCAGACUCCUACGGGAGGCAGCAGUGGGGAAUAUUGCACAAUGGGCGCAAGCCUGAUGCAGCCAUGCCGCGUGUAUGAAGAAGGCCUUCGGGUUGUAAAGUACUUUCAGCGGGGAGGAAGGUGUUGUGGUUAAUAACCGCAGCAAUUGACGUUACCCGCAGAAGAAGCACCGGCUAACUCCGUGCCAGCAGCCGCGGUAAUACGGAGGGUGCAAGCGUUAAUCGGAAUUACUGGGCGUAAAGCGCACGCAGGCGGUCUGUCAAGUCGGAUGUGAAAUCCCCGGGCUCAACCUGGGAACUGCAUUCGAAACUGGCAGGCUUGAGUCUUGUAGAGGGGGGUAGAAUUCCAGGUGUAGCGGUGAAAUGCGUAGAGAUCUGGAGGAAUACCGGUGGGCGAAGGCGGCCCCCUGGACAAAGACUGACGCUCAGGUGCGAAAGCGUGGGGAGCAAACAGGAUUAGAUACCCUGGUAGUCCACGCCGUAAACGAUGUCUACUUGGAGGUUGUGCCCUUGAGGCGUGGCUUCCGGAGCUAACGCGUUAAGUAGACCGCCUGGGGGAGUACGGCCGCAAGGUUAAAACUCAAAUGAAUUGACGGGGGCCCGCACAAGCGGUGGAGCAUGUGGUUUAAUUCGAUGCAACGCGAAGAACCUUACCUGGUCUUGACAUCCACGGAAGUUUUCAGAGAUGAGAAUGUGCCUUCGGGAGCCGUGAGACAGGUGCUGCAUGGCUGUCGUCAGCUCGUGUUGUGAAAUGUUGGGUUAAGUCCCGCAACGAGCGCAACCCUUAUCCUUUGUUGCCAGCGAUUAGGUCGGGAACUCAAAGGAGACUGCCAGUGAUAAACUGGAGGAAGGUGGGGAUGACGUCAAGUCAUCAUGGCCCUUACGACCAGGGCUACACACGUGCUACAAUGGCGCAUACAAAGAGAAGCGACCUCGCGAGAGCAAGCGGACCUCAUAAAGUGCGUCGUAGUCCGGAUUGGAGUCUGCAACUCGACUCCAUGAAGUCGGAAUCGCUAGUAAUCGUGGAUCAGAAUGCCACGGUGAAUACGUUCCCGGGCCUUGUACACACCGCCCGUCACACCAUGGGAGUGGGUUGCAAAAGAAGUAGGUAGCUUAACCUUCGGGAGGGCGCUUACCACUUUGUGAUUCAUGACUGGGGUGAAGUCGUAACAAGGUAACCGUAGGGGAACCUGCGGUUGGAUCACCU
rnacentral:rRNA from 1 species